UAUUUCCUUCCUUUUAAAAUCCAUUAUUCUAUCAUCUAUUUUCAAUUUCGCAACUAUCCUUUCAUACGUUUCAAAUUAAAAGAAAUCAUCGAUCUCUGUAUUUUGGUAUUGUUAUCCUUGCCAAAAUCAAAUUUCAAAAUUAUUUAUAAAGACAAUUUCAUCCUUAUGUUAUUGUUACUUCUGGUGUUCAAUUUGUUAUCAAAGAGUCUUCAAACCUUUACUCUACAUCAGAACCGAAUGCGCCACAUCUACAUAAGGUAAGCAAAUAAUUUUGAUUUAAUGAUGAACUUUAGUUGCAAAGCAUCUGUUUAUUGUUUAUGUGCUCAUUUAUGUUAUAAUCUUAUAUUUUCCCUUCUUUUGUCGAAUUCUCAUGUAAUUUUAAUGUUCAAACUCUUGCUUGUGUUAGAAUGCAUAUAUGGUGUUCGAUUAAAUGCCUCAAACAAAUACAUUAACAAUGUCAAUUAAAAUACUUGAUUUCGUUAUAUUUAGGCUACGUUGUCCUGUUUGCAGAAGUGUUUUUUUGUUUUUGAUAAUCAAAAUUAUAGCACAAAUACAUGACAAAUCUGCCCCUUCCCUUAAUUCGAAUAAAAAUAAAUCACCAUAUGCUUUGUUGCCGAAUUGCAUGUUAAAGUAUAUUUAGUAUAAGAGUUCUAAAUAAGAAUAAGAGCUCUAAAUCAUAAAUAAGCCCAAUUAUAGGUUGAAGUGUAUUUAGGAUUCUCAUGGAACUUAUAAGCAUGGUAGAAAAGUAAUAUUUUCUCAUCAAUUAAAAUUUACUUCUUGUGCUAUAUGGAUAACUGAUUUAUAUAAAAUAUUAUAAAACAUUAUGACACACUUAGGAAAUGCAAAUAAAUAACAAACAAUGACAAAUUUGUAUAAAGGUUACGACUACAUGCCUAUAAAGGUAUCUCGUGUUAUGAAGUACAAUUUUUGAUUUCAGGGGCGUUUAUGUCAUGAUUUACAGAAAUGCAAUUUUUUUUUUGUUUUUUUUUUUGUUAUAUUUUGUCUACUUUGGUUUUACUUUAAUGACUUAGACAUAAACAUGAAAUGAACCAAUUUGUUUUACCGGGUGAUUGGUCGACUAAUCAACAUUAGUAUAAAUUUACUGAAGGGUAUAAUGGUAAUUUAUGGGUUGACACUUUGGUAGAAAGGGAAAUGUCAAAUUUUAUAUGAACUGGAAAAACAAUUUUUAUAGAAAUACAUUUUCUUUUACAAAAAUACAAUUUUUUUUCGCAAGAUGACUACACAUCAACGACUGAAUUAUCUGUCUAUGGAAACAAACUUUAUGGAAUAACACUCAAAAUGGAGGAUUUAGAGUGGGAUUUAUUUAUAUACCUAUAUUUAUUAUUUUUUUUAUGAGAAUAUGUUUUUUAUUUUUCUUAAUUUCUACAGAGGACGAGAACUUUUUUACUUUAUGGGGACGGUAGUCUGACGAAAUUGGUGCAUAUGUUUCUAAGCACCCGAGCAAUUUUGUAUCGCUUAUUUAACUGGCUAAGUUGAAUCUUAUCUGAUGUACGUAUUUAGUAAAUUAUUAAUUUGUAAUAUUUUUAUUAUUAACAUAUUUAAGAUAUGAAAUUAUACUGAUGCAAAAAAUUAUUUAAUUUUCAUUUCAGAAUGUCUAUACAUCAAUAACACUUAGCUACAAAAGUUUUUAUUGAAGACAACAUUGAAGAAAUA
rnacentral:lncRNA from 1 species